UACAGAGAAAACAAGCGUUGUUCGGAAUUACUGGGCAUAAAAGGCUCGUAAGUGGCCAACUAAGUCAUACGUGAAAUCCCUCGGCUUAACCGGGGAACUGCGUCUGAUACUGGAUGGCUUGAGUUUGGGAGAGGGAUGCGGAAUUCCAGGUGUAGCGGUGAAAUACGUAGAUAUCUGGAAGAACACCGGUGGCGAAGGCGGCAUCCUGGACCAACACUGACACUGAUGAGCGAAAGCCAGGGGAGCAAACGGG
rnacentral:rRNA from 1 species